rnacentral:lncRNA from 1 species
UGUGAAAUCAAACUGACUGUUGUCAGACCAUUCUCAAUGCCUCCCCUAACCCCAGUAUUUGUGCUGAAGAUGGUGGGACCUCAAUUCAUCCUUCUGGAAUGUUGCAGAGCUUGGCCCCAGCCUGAGCAAUGGCAGCUCUCCAGGAGCCUGAGGUCUGAAUCUGCCUGGUACAGCAUCCUGGAGAGCACGUGCAGACACAGAAGUACUGGGUGCCCUGUGAAACAGUGGGCCAGUAAUCCAGCUGAGUGCUUCUGGACCCGGGCUGCCACCAGGGAACUGACAACCCCACAUCUGCCACAGGCAGAAAACUUGCAGGGGUCAGGGGAAGCUCUUUCUCUGCCAUUUAAGAAGGAACAGUGGAGGCCGGGGCUGCCAGCCCACUUGGCUCACAACUUUUGGACUGUCUGGCAUUGUGGCCAGCACGUGACUGUGGUUAUUUGGGGCAAGCAGGAGUGCCCAAGUCCAAACACAUCUCCUCCCGGGCCUGUCCCUCGCUGACACAUCUGCUGCCGAUCCCUGGCUUCUUUUAUUCGGGAGAGAUCUAUGGACUACCGCCACGAUGCACGCUCACUCCCUGCUCAGACCUGAUGGUGGAUCCCGAGCCAUGGACCCUGGCAUUCUCCCCACAGGUCAGUUCACCUUCACCCCCUUUUGAUGUUGCCACUUCCAGAUGUUCCAGGGAGAUGCCUCCUUGGUCUACCCCAGUCCCCAGGCACAUCCUGAAUGCAGACCUCAGGCAACCAUCCUAGACCCAGCAGAGGGGACAGCAGCACGGUGCAAGUGGGUCUGCCACCAGGAAAGUGAC